AUAGCGUAUAUUAAAGUUGUUGCAGUUAAAAAGCUCGUAGUUGAACUUUAGGCCCGGUUGGACGGUCUGCUCUAGGGUUUGUACUGUCCUGACUGGGUCUUACCUUCUGGUGAGCUGUCGUGUUGUUAACUCAGUGCGGCAGGGAACCAGGACUUUUACUUUGAAAAAAUUAGAGUGUUUAAAGCAGGCAUCCGCUUGAAUACAUUAGCAUGGAAUAAUAGAAUAGGACUUUGGUUCUAUUUUGUUGGUUUCUAGGACCGAAGUAAUGAUUAAUAGGGAUAGUUGGGGGCAUUAGUAUUUAAUUGUCAGAGGUGAAAUUCUUGGAUUUAUGAAAGACGAACAACUG
rnacentral:rRNA from 1 species